rnacentral:ncRNA from 2 species
GAAAAUGAAUAGCAUAUUACCCGUAUAUACUUAGAAAUAAGGUCUAAGCGUUUCUACCAGACUACCGUAAAUUGUCUGACUAUGGGUGUUUAUAAGUAUUUU